AUCCCUCUCCCAGAGACUGGAGUUUUCACUUUCCCUCGGAUAGUGAGGACUCCUGUUUGCUCUUCUGCCUGCCCAGGCAGCUUUUCUCCCUCCUGAGCAGACCUGGUUUAGCAGCUGCUGAAAGGACAAGGGAUUUGAUGUGCCUGCAGGGUGGGAUCAGCAGCCUCUGAGCAAAGUGUUCACUGGGCACAAAAUGGGAGGACAAUGUGGAUAUGAAUGGGCUAAAGCUGUCCUGCACUUGUCCUGUGACAACACAGCCCUGCCAGGGACUGCCAAGAGGAAUAUCCAGAAAAAGGGUGUAACAGUCCUCUGCAGAAUCAUUUGAGAGUAAAUAUAGAAUAAAUCCAAUGGAUCCAGCAAGCCUCCACUCUGCUCAGCAGGACUGCAUAGAGUAAACUGAAGGCAAGCAGGGGCUGGUGCCUGUAUCUCCACUGGCUUUGUGGUUCCAUUUCUUCCUUCAUUCAGACAGAGGCUGGACAAGCUGCUGGAGGAGAAAUUCAGAGGGAACGAUAAAAUAAACAGCCCCUACAUUUGGCUCAGCAAGCCCUGAACAACACUCCUGAAUGUUUACAUAUAAAGGUAUAUAC